ACCCCUUGCCCACUAGCGCAGACUGGAGAGGUUGCACCAGCCAGAGCGCCGGGGGACACGCAGGUGCGAGGGAGGCCGGACCUGGAGCUUCGUUCCAGCCAGUGCUCAUUCAUCCUUCCUUAAAUAUGCUUUCCUGCCUCUGCCUCUCCGUUUUCUAUGCCUUUGUUCAUGCUGUUCCUCCCACUGAAAUGCUCUUCACUUCAUCUUCAUCUAUCAACCACAGAUCACAUGGAACUUCCACUAGAAUUUCAUCUGGAACCAUCCGGCUUCAUCAUAACAGGAGGAUCAGAGAUCUGGAGGAUGACCUGCCCUGCUGGGACAAUAAAC